rnacentral:rRNA from 1 species
UUGCCCUACGGGACGCAGCAGCCGCGGUAAUACGUAGGGAGCAAGCGUUGUCCGGAAUUACUGGGUGUAAAGGGAGCGUAGGCGGGAUGGCAAGUUGGGUGUUAAAUCUACCGGCUCAACUGGUAGUCGCACUCAAAACUGCUAUUCUUGAGUGAAGUAGAGGCAGGCGGAAUUCCUAGUGUAGCGGGGAAAUGCGUAGAUAUUAGGAGGAACACCAGUGGCGGGGGCGG